GUAGGGAAGUUCCUUUCGUGUUCAUGUUUCUAGUACACAGUAUUUUACAAUUGGAACGUGUUUUUCCAAGCCUUGCCUGUAUCAGCUUACCCUCAUGGCCUGAUUUAUUUUGAAUUUCACCAUGGCAUGCAGUUCAGGAAUGUUUCCUAACUGAUGUUGGCAAUUCCUUUUGGUACUUACGUAUUAUCAUAAUCACAUUUGAACCGACUCUCUGUUGAUAUUUUCUGGCAGCCCUUCAAUAUAUCAUUUUCUUAAGCUCCACAGGUCCUGGUCACAAUCAAGUAAGCCGUUCGCUUAUUGCAGGUA